UUUGAUCCUUCCAGACGCACACACACACUCACACACAGAGAUAUGAAGGCAGUGUGUCUCAUGAGUAUUGAUUAUAUUUCUCUCUGCUGGCUGCUGCUGUGGUGAGGGGUUUUCUGACCCGUUGUCUCUUGAGCACUGAACGCGUGUCGCGCCUCAUCAGGACCAUCACAGAUAAUAAAGAGAAGGGAUCCCUCUCUGCUGCCACCAGAGAAGCUUUAGAACGCAAGAAUCUCAUGUUUGAAACACAGACGACACACGAGACGCACGACAUUCACAUCAAGCCUCUUCCUCCUGGAGAAACGCAUCACUUCCUGCUGUCUGUCGUCAGGCUCUCGUUACUGUACAGAGCUGAUGAUCUGAAACGAUUCCGUCCUGACAGACACUUUCUGUGAGAUUUACACACAUCCAAACAUGCCCAGGUCAUAUUUCACCCCAAAACCAACAGAAAAUCAAGUCAAUUUUUAUGACCAUUAAAAUCUAAAUUAAUUUAUGCAAAAAAGCCAAUUUAUUUGCAUAUAUAUAUAUGUAUAUAAUUUU
rnacentral:lncRNA from 1 species